UCUCUCUCUCUCUCACACACCUCUCUCUCUCUCACCUCUCUCUCUCUCUCUCUCUCUCUCUCUCCUCUCCCUCUCUCUCUGGAAGAUGUUUUGAAUAACCCAGGACAAGAAGUGAUGGUCCAGGCACAAAAGCACAAACCAACAAAAUGCAUUCCAUUCCACUUAAUUCCUUAAAGACGUUUAUUUUCAACUUAAUAUCCUUCUGCAAGUUAAAUAUAAUCAGAGAAUAAUCAAGGUAU